GGAGGCGUCGCAUAGCGGUCUAGUGCGGUUGCUUGGAGAGCAACUAUGUCCGAAAGGGCAUCGUGAGUUCGAAUCUCACCGCCUCCGCCA
rnacentral:tRNA from 1 species